GACUUUUAUUCUGUCUUCUUCUUAUUAAGUCUGCAUAGAGAGAAUAGGGAGACGGCCUCCUGGGGGAAUCGCACAGCCGACUGUCCAAAGGAUUUUUAUAGCAUGGAGUCUCGCCAGAGUUGCAGCAGGUUAGGGCACAAAGAGCCAAUUAUAUCUGAAAGUCACAAGAGGAGACCCUGAAGGAGAAAGGUACACCCCAAGCAUUAUACUGUGUGUACCCUGGGGUGAAAAAACGUUAUAUCGAGUACAAAACCCCCCAAUGGACAAGGGAUUCAUUAGGUUAGUCAGACCACUCUGCCACGUGACAUCUCAAACUAUUGCAUCCACUGGAAAACAACUACCAGCUAGCCUGACUACCACUCCUAUGUAGGUACCACAAUAAUGUACGCUUUAAUGUCACAGAAGGAAAUGAACAAAUUCAGAAAAAAGCUUCAUAUCCAUCCGAGCUCAGAUUAUACAGAAUAGAAGACCCGGCAGGAGAUCAUUUACAAGAAUCAUUUCCAGAAAAGCCCCAAUGAAGAUAAUCCCAUAGACCGACACGGAUCGGGGGAGCAGAGGAGACGUCUUUAUAGAGAUCAUGGAGAAUAUUCAGCCGAGAUUCCGGACCGCAUGAGGCGUCUCUGUCCUGAUGGAACGUUUAUCAGAUUUAGGACUCGUUGCUGCCGCAACUAGAUAAUUCCCAUGAGGCCUAGAGGUUUCUCUGAAAAUGGGAGGUCAGACAUAUUGUUAGGAAAAUUGUAAUCCUACCCCAGCGGGGGCAAUGAAAUUACACCGCUACAAUGUCACCGUAAUACACCGCACCUGGCUGAGGCCAGAUAAGGAGCCCGGCUUUUAUGUCAUUAAAGGUGAGCAGGAGCGGUCAUGUAAGUUAAAUCCAAAAUCAGAAAAUUGUAUUUAAAUAAACCCCAAGAUAUAUAACUAACUAAUAUAGUGUUAUCACUUACUAUACAAGCAUCAGCAUUUUUUUUACUUGAUUUAUCCUUAACAGGAAGUUGUGUAAUCCUCUCAUUGUCAGUGUGGUGUGGUCUCAGCAGCUCCCCGGUUCCUCCCCUUCUUCCGUGACAACACAGGAGGUGUGGCUGGGUCUUGUCUGUUUGUCCUAGCCCCACCCCCUGAGCGAUGUCACCACCUCCCAAUCAUAUACACGUAUACAUAUAUAUCUUUAUUGGGACAUUUAUGGAAAAAUGAGGUGUGGUUACAGCAUGCUGCCUUGUGCUGAACAAUGCCCUAGGCAGAGAAGCAGACAGGGAAUGAAUACAGCAGGUGCUGAAACCUCAUUGUGCGAUAGUCUGCUGUAAGAGGGGAGAAGAGCUGAAGAAAAGCAAAUGCAUUUUGCGAAUUGUAGUACUGUGUGACUGCUCAACUAGGAAGUAGUACAAAAAAUACAGAUCUAAGUCCCCAAAACAAAUAGAUUUUUCUUGGUUUCAGCAUUUUUAUGUUUAGUUUUUUACUUCUGUACUUCGGUGGGAAAACAUUUUUUUUUUUUUUUAUCAACUGGUGCCAGAAAGUUAAACAGAUUUGUAAAUUACUUCUAUUAAAAAAUCUUU